UUCUUUUUAGCUUAGACAAAAGCGUUAGUUUGAAGCACUAACGAGACAUUAAUUUGUAAAAGAAG
rnacentral:tRNA from 1 species